AAUGAAAGGUUGAUUAAUGGAUAAGGAAUUGAAAAGGAUACAGAAGGAAAUAGUCGUGGCCUAAUUUAAGACACUACGCUGCCAUUUCCCUUGAGGAACUUAUGAAAUCCACGAUAAACCUGUCGCAAUGGACGGUACCUCCCGAAAAUGAAGCAGGAAUUCUAAGGAUUCGCCCGUGACGUUGGAUGUAAGAAAACACUUAAACUUAAAUCAAUUAUAAAUUGUAGAUCCAUUUUUGAGUUGAUAGAAACGUUUGAACAAUAUGAACUGAUGAAAUAAGGCAUGUGUUUCGGAGGUUUUCGGUGGUUGUGUAGGAAACAGAUGAAGAGGAUUGUAAGUGGUAUUAUUGGAUCUGGGACUUUGUCCAUAAUAUAACAUGUGACUUUGAUUUGUUAUUAGAACAAGUCAGAAAUAAAAAUAAAUUAAAUUGUAGAACGUGAGGCAAUUCCUAUUUUGCUGUACAUAAGUGUAAGUUUGGUUUAAAAAAACAGGCAAAGCUUCCGCAUUUUCCUGUCGCUGCGCUGCAUACUGCUACCAUUACGACUUUCUAGCUGUUUCUUCCGUCACUGAACCAUUUUUGUCAACCCUUCCUUUUCUCCACUAUCAACAAGUCUGGACGAGUUCAGUGGCAAUCCCGUCGUCUAAUGUAAACGACAGGUAUUUUAUUACUCUCAUGUUGCCUGGCUUGAUUGUAGGUAGCGAAACUGUCGUGCAGACACGAGACAGGUGCGUUGUGGUCGCUAGUUGGUAGUAAUUAGGACUAUUGUAUUAUUUACAUGAUAUUACUGUUGUUAACGUAUCAGUUGUUAAAGGUAGGUUUUAUGUGGACGUCACUGAAUUGGCAUUGUUGUUAUGUGCUGUGUGUGUGUGUGAGUGUGCAAAAUAUAUAAUUAUGUGUUCAAGUACAACGAAACCAAAACGGACAUGACGUGUCUUCUGAGAAACGCAUUGUUGCUGUGAUGUGUUAGUCGCCGUUACGAAGAACUUUAUUACUAUCAGAGUGAAUAAUAAAUACAAGUAAAUUUAGUGUUGAAUCCAGCCCUCUUCAACUAAUUCCAGAUUUAAUUAGAAUCUUUAUUCGUCACAUCUGUGAAAGAUGCCCCCAGUCUGCAAGGUACAGCCGUUAGGAACAACUUCAUGUAAUGCGGUUUCCUUGUAUUCGGGGUAUAUCGGUUCGAUUGUCAGCGCGUAAGUACCGGAUUUCCAAAAUUAGGUUCUCCUAACGAUGGCUGCUUCCUGGGAUGUAGCACCGUAUAUUCUGGUAGGUAUUGGCCGACAUUUCAAAGGAGCUUACUGCCUCCAUCUUCAUCCCGAGUUCAUCCCAGUAGCCAGCGUUCUUUAUGCUCAUCACCGCGGGAACUUCAAUUCCCACUGAGAUUUUUCUUAUUUCCUUAUGUUCUUGA